rnacentral:tRNA from 1 species
AGAACUUUAGUUCAAAAAAGAACAUUUUAUUUACACUAAAAAAAUCUGCAUAAAGAGGUUCUA